CAACCACUCCCUCUAUCCCAAAUUUCUUAUCUUAGCUUUGUCUAGAUACGGAUGUAUCUAAUACUAAAAUGUGACUUGAUACAUCUGUAUCUAGACAAAUCUAAGACAAGAAUUUUCAGACGGAGGGAGUACUUU
rfam:Triticum aestivum genome assembly, contig: Triticum_aestivum_CS42_TGACv1_scaffold_077725_1DL